AUUGAACGCUGGCGGCAGGCCUAACACAUGCAAGUCGAGCGGCAGCGGAAAGUAGCUUGCUACUUUGCCGGCGAGCGGCGGACGGGUGAGUAAUGUCUGGGAAACUGCCUGAUGGAGGGGGAUAACUACUGGAAACGGUAGCUAAUACCGCAUAACGUCGCAAGACCAAAGAGGGGGACCUUCGGGCCUCUUGCCAUCAGAUGUGCCCAGAUGGGAUUAGCUAGUAGGUGGGGUAACGGCUCACCUAGGCGACGAUCCCUAGCUGGUCUGAGAGGAUGACCAGCCACACUGGAACUGAGACACGGUCCAGACUCCUACGGGAGGCAGCAGUGGGGAAUAUUGCACAAUGGGCGCGAGCCUGAUGCAGCCAUGCCGCGUGUAUGAAGAAGGCCUUCGGGUUGUAAAGUACUUUCAGCGGGGAGGAAGGUGUUGAGGUUAAUAACCUCAGCAAUUGACGUUACCCGCAGAAGAAGCACCGGCUAACUCCGUGCCAGCAGCCGCCGUAAAAC
rnacentral:rRNA from 1 species